CCUACGGGAUGCACCAGUGGGGAAUAUUGCACAAUGGGCGCAAGCCUAAUGCAGCCAUGCCGCGUGUAUGAAGAAGGCCUUCGGGUUGUAAAGUACUUUCAGCGGGGAGGAAGGUGUUGUGGUUAAUAACCACAGCAAUUGACGUUACCCGCAGAAGAAGCACCGGCUAACUCCGUGCCAGCAGCCGCGGUAAUACGGAGGGUGCAAGCGUUAAUCGGAAUUACUGGGCGUAAAGCGCACGCAGGCGGUCUGUCAAGUCGGAUGUGAAAUCCCCGGGCUCAACCUGGGAACUGCAUUCGAAACUGGCAGGCUAGAGUCUUGUAGAGGGGGGUAGAAAUCCGGGUGUAGCGGUGAAAUGCGUAGAGAUCUGGAGGGAUACCGGUGGCAAAGGCGGCCCCCUGGACAAAGACUGACGCUCAGGUGCGAAAGCGUGGGGAGCAAACAGGAUUAGAUACCCCAGUAGUC
rnacentral:rRNA from 1 species